rnacentral:rRNA from 1 species
GAUGAACGCUGGCGGCGCGCCUAAUACAUGCAAGUCGAGCGAAGCGGGGACGGGUGAGUAACACGUGGAUAACCUCCUAUAAGACUGGGUUAACUUCGGGAAACCGGAGCUAAACCGGAUACUAAAAGAUGGAUUCGCGGUGCAUUAGCUAGUGGGUAAGGUAACGGCUUACCAAGGCAACGAUGCAUGGCCGACCUGAGAGGGUGAUCAGCCACACUGGAACUGAGACACGGUCCAGACUCCUACGGGAGGCAGCAGUAGGGAAUCUUCGGCAAUGGGCGAAAGCCUGACGGAGCAACGCCGCGUGAGUGAUGAAGGUCUUCGGAUCGUAAAACACUGUUAUUAGGGAAGCGGUACCUAAUCAGAAAGCAACGGCUAACUACGUGCCAGCAGCCGCGGUAAUUC